AGCAGCCGCGGUAAUUCCAGCUCCAAUAGCGUAUAUUAAAGUUGUUGCAGUUAAAAAGCUCGUAGUUGAAUUUCGGGGUUAGUAGGCUGGUCAUGCCUCUGGUAUGUACUGGUCUCACUGAUUCCUCCUUCCUUAUGAACCGUAAUGCCAUUAAUUUGGUGUUGCGGGAAAUUUGGACUGUUACUUUGAAAAAUUAGAGUGUUUAAAGCAAGCUAACGCUUGAAUACAUUAGCAUGGAAUAAUGAAAUAGGACGUUCGAUCUUAUUUUGUUGGUUUCUAGGAUUGACGUAAUGAUUAAUAGGGAUAGUUGGGGGCAUUAGUAUUCAAUUGUCAGAGGUGAAAUUCUUGGAUUUAUUGAAGACUAACUACUGCGAAAGCAUUUGCCAAGGAUGUUUUCAUUAAUCAAGAAUGAAAGUUAGGGGAUCGAAGACGAUCAGAUACCGUCGUAGUCUUAACCAUAAACUAUGCCGACUAGGGAUCGGAUGAUGUUAAUUUUUUAAUGU
rnacentral:rRNA from 1 species